rnacentral:rRNA from 1 species
CGGGGGAAAGAUUUAUCGGAGAAGGAUUAGCCCGCGUUAGAUUAGGUAGUUGGUGGGGUAAUGGCCUACCAAGCCUACGAUCUAUAGCUGGUUUGAGAGGAUGAUCAGCCACAUUGGGACUGAGACACGGCCCAAACUCCUACGGGAGGCAGCAGUGGGGAAUCUUGCACAAUGGAGGAAACUCUGAUGCAGCGAUGCCGCGUGAGUGAAGAAGGCCCUUGGGUUGUAAAGCUCUUUCGUCGGGGAAGAAAAUGACUGUACCCGAAUAAGAAGGUCCGGCUAACUUCGUGCCAGCAGCCGCGGUAAUACGAAGGGACCUAGCGUAGUUCGGAAUUACUGGGCUUAAAGAGUUCGUAGGUGGUUGAAAAAGUUGGUGGUGAAAUCCCAGAGCUUAACUCUGGAACUGCCAUCAAAACUUUUCAGCUAGAGUAUGAUAGAGGAAAGCAGAAUUUCUAGUGUAGAGGUGAAAUUCGUAGAUAUUAGAAAGAAUACCGAUUGCGAAGGCAGCUUUCUGGAUCAUUACUGACACUGAGGAACGAAAGCAUGGGUAGCGAAGAGGAUUAGAUACCCUCGUAGUCCAUGCCGUAAACGAUGUGUGUUAGACGUUGGAAAUUUAUUUUCAGUGUCGCAGGGAAACCGAUAAACACACCGCCUGGGGAGUACGACCGCAAGGUUAAAACUCAAAUGAAUUGACGGGGACCCGCACAAGUAGUGGAGCAUGUGGUUUAAUUCGAAGAUACGCGCAGAACCUUACCAACACUUGACAUGUUCGUCGCGACUCUAAGAGAUUAGAGUUUUCGGUUCGGCCGGACGAAACACAGGUGCUGCAUGGCUGUCGUCAGCUCGUGUCGUGAGAUGUUGGGUUAAGUCCCGCAACGAGCGCAACCCUCACUUUUAGUUGCCAUCAUUAAGUUGGGCACUCUGAAAGAACUGCCAGUGAUAAGCUGGAGGAAGGUGGGGAUGACGUCAAGUCCUCAUGGCCCUUACGUGUUGGGCUACACACGUGCUACAAUGGCAUCUACAACAGGAAGCAAAACGGCAACGUUAAGCAAAUCCCAAAAAGAUGCCUCAGUUCGGAUUGCACUCUGCAACUCGAGUGCAUGAAGCUGGAAUUACUAGUAAUCGUGGAUCAGCGUGCCACGGUGAAUGCGUUCCCGGGUCUUGUACACACCGCCCGUCACACCAUGGGAGUUGGUUCUACCUUAAGGCAAGGUUUUAAACCCUUGACCACGGUAUAGUCAGCGACUGGGGUGAAGUCGUAACAAGGUAACC